rnacentral:rRNA from 1 species
GACGAACGCUGGCGGCGUGCUUAACACAUGCAAGUCGAACGGAAAGGCCCUGCUUUUGUGGGGUGCUCGAGUGGCGAACGGGUGAGUAACACGUGAGUAACCUGCCCUUGGCUUUGGGAUAACUUCAGGAAACUGGGGCUAAUACCGGAUAGGAGCUCCUGCUGCAUGGUGGGGGUUGGAAAGUUUCGGCGGUUGAGGAUGGACUCGCGGCUUAUCAGCUUGUUGGUGGGGUAGUGGCUUACCAAGGCUUUGACGGGUAGCCGGCCUGAGAGGGUGACCGGCCACAUUGGGACUGAGAUACGGCCCAGACUCCUACGGGAGGCAGCAGUGGGGAAUAUUGCACAAUGGGCGGAAGCCUGAUGCAGCAACGCCGCGUGCGGGAUGACGGCCUUCGGGUUGUAAACCGCUUUCGCCUGUGACGAAGCGUGAGUGACGGUAAUGGGUAAAGAAGCACCGGCUAACUACGUG